rnacentral:misc_RNA from 1 species
AGAACUUCACGUGCUCUUUCACACUCUAGCAACGUAGCUGCAUUCGCACAUCCGGACCCUCCGACCCACGCGCACGACAAAGUCCAAACACAACUGCCAUUUGGCACCACUGACCCUGCCACACAGAGACAUACACUGCAGCUCGCGCCGCAUCUCACAACCUACCGUGACAACCAGAAGCUGCACAACACCGCGCCACCACCACCACCGCCACAUAUUCCACAAUGGGAGGGAAGAACUCCACGCAGCGCCAGGGCGCGCAGCUGCGUAAUGGAAACGGAGGGGGCAGCACGGCGCCCGGGCGGCAGGCUCCUAGCAACAUGCCGCCGCACUUAGCGGAUCAGUACGACAAUAAUAGCACCCGUCAGCGCAACCAGCCGCCUAGCAACGCCAACAACACCACUCCGCCUCAGCAGAACGCUCCCCAGCCGCCGCCGCAGCAGCAGCAGCAGCCGCAGCCGCAGCAGCAGAAUAGGAGCGGCAACCCCAUGGGGAACAACGCUGCCAACAACAGCAACGAACGCGGCGGCGUGCAGGAGGGUCAGAUGGUGAAGAUGCUAGCCACUAUAGAGGCGUCCACGGUGAGCUAUAUGCCAGCGACGCAGGUGCUCACGUUCUACAUCACGAGCAUAUGUGAAUCGCUGACCUACGAGAUCCACACCGGUGUGAAGGAGUUCGUGCAUAACGGCACUGUGUGCUAUAGGCCCAACAGGCCAAAGCUGGAGCCCGUCAAGACGGAAAUCCGCGGCCCGCAGGAAAACCGCAAAAUCACCUUGAAGCUGGACAUCAACUCGCUGGAAGAAAAGGAGAAGUCGUUCAACAAGCACUACCCAAAGCAGAUGCCGUGCGUUAUCGUGCUCCGCUACAAGACUACUGAGAUCUGCAAGAGGGACGACGGCCGCGACAAUAACAACCAAACCGAGGAGGAAAUGCGUGUGGAGCAUACGGAGCACACCUCCGUUGACCUCGCGGAGAAGCCGAAGCGCCGCGUCAUCAGCCAGAUUGUGACGGCGGGUGGUAACGCAUACACAGUAGAGAACCUUUACGGUGUGGACAACGACGGGACGGCGCCGGCGAGCGGCAACGGCGGUGGUGCCGUAAUGAUCGGCUCGACGAUCGAGGAUGAAGAGGAUGGACUCUGCGUGAUAUGCCUGACAAACCCGAAGGACACGGCUGUGAUGCCGUGCCGCCACAUGUGCAUGUGCAAGGACUGUGGCGAGCAGCUGUUGAAGCACAAGCCUGUGUGUCCCGUGUGCCGUGCCCCGAUUUCGACACUGCUGCAUAUGCCCUCGUUGAGCAACAAAGCCGCUGCUUCGACGGCAUAGAGCAAGACGGAGAGGGGCACAGGUGAAGAGGAUGUGUGCAUGUGUGGGGGGGGGUGGGGGGGGGGCGGUUAAGCAGCGGGUAGCGCACAGCAAAGGGGGUGAAAACCACGAAAGUAAAUAUAUAUAUUUUCUGUGUGUGCGUGAGAGAAGAGGGGAAGAGGCGUCCUGCAAUGCCGCAGUCGCGUGCACACUUUCGUCGAUACACCUACCUUCCUCCCUUCUCCGACCCCUCGGAUUCUCUUCUCGUAUUUUCCUCUUGGCGCGUUUCAGGCCGCUUGCACGUUUAGGGAGGGAGAGUGGGUGGAAGGAAGAGGGUGGGUGUAGGGGGGGGGGUGCGAAGCGGGAAAGAUGUGAUUUUCUGACUGUUUUUUUUUUUUUUGUUCGUCUGCCGGUGUUUUCUUUGCCCUCUUCUCCGCUCGCACUCUUUUUUUUUUUCGGGUUGUUGGCUGGCGCGCGCAUGCGAAUGUUGUCUGCUUACGCUUUGCUUCCGUUUUCUUUUUUUUUUUUUUCGGUCUUUCUGCUGACGGUGACCUCUCCUCUCUCCCCUGCCAUCCGCGACUGCUUCACCCCCGCUAACCAUUCCCAUCCGAGAGGCUUCGCGAUGCCCCUUUCUUUCCUUCUGGUGCGCCCUCGCAUCCUAUUUCCGCCAGUCGGCCCGCCUUCUUGUUGGGCGGUGUGUGUGCGGCACAGAAGCUAGCGCGUGCACGUUUGUUAUGGUCAGAGGCGAAUGCUCACAGUACUUGUAUACCCAUCCAUUCGCACGGACGCACGCACAAACAUACGCUCUGCCCACGCAUCAGCUUCAGACACACACGAGGAAGAGGAGAAAGGAGGAGGAAGGAGGGUCAUCUGCUUACCGGCAUGCGCACACUCAAGCGUAUGUGCAUCCAUCCACUCACAGGCUAAUUGCACGCACGUGCUGUUGGGGGUGCCACGGCACAUUUUCAGUAGUGGGCAAGGUAAGCAGGCGAGGGAGGAGCAAAGCAGGGCAAAACCAGAAGAGGGGAUACCAUACACAAGUAUUACUUUGUGAUCGGGCUGUGCGCUCUUUAUCUAGCCCCUCGGGUGUUCUUUUUUUUUUCUUCCCUUGCCUCUCUCAGUGUGUCGGUGGUCUGGCAGAUGCUUGUGUCCUGUGUGAGAGUGGAGGGAAGAAAUGCAAGGUUCCUCUUGCAGCAGGCUGAAGCGGGCGGGUGGCGGAGGAGGGUAACGAUGCGGGAGUGGUGGGGCUUUGAUCUUGGGCUCAAUCAUUCGGUAAUGAGCUGAUGCCGCACUCUGCCUGCUCUUCCGCCUCUUUUCCUCUUUCACACGUUGGCUCUUCAAGUGGAUUGGUCCCUCUCUCUGCCUCGUUUUGUCUAUGGCGGCUUCUCUUCACUGUUUUACACUCGUAUGUGUCUACCUGAUUGUGUGUGUGCGCGCUUUACCAUUUUGAAAGUGAUCCUCGCAAGUUAUUGCCCCAUACCCUCCCCCUCUGUCUUCUCUUUCGAUUGCCUCCCCAUCUCCGACUUGGCGCGGUUCUCUUUAUCUUGCUGUUUCCAUUUUUUUUUGGUUUGUUCGUAUCUCUUUCGGUUCAUCGUGUUACUGUCGAUCGGCUGAUGUUUUCAUACCCACUCACGCUCGCGCACACCUUCCCCCACCCCCUCCCUCUCUCCAUCUCUUCGUCUUUGCUCUGAUUCUUCACCCUUCCCCUCGCAUUUUACCUUUUCUUCAGUUUGUCUGUUGCUGUCUGUGCUCGCGUCUUCUUGUGUGUGUUCUGUUUCACCUCUUCUCGGUGCGUGUGUCUGUGAGCGCGCGACGUUGUGUGUGUGCGUGUUUGCUUCUUCCUCGCUUCCCUAUGUUUUUGCUUUCUGCCUGUGUGUCUGUCUCUCUCCUUUUCAUGUCGGUGAAGAAUCAGCUACAUGCGACUCUUUCGGUGCGUUUGGAUGCGUGUGUAACGCCUGUGUGGAUGUCCCUCUCGGUGCGCGUGUCGCACGCGCAACAUUUUCUUUGUACUCCCCCUCUUUUCUUGCCAGCCCAGCUUCUGAGCUGCAAUACGAGGUGGCAUGACGGAAAAAAAAGAAGGGAGUGCAGUGGACCGCAAAGUACAACUGGGUGGGUGGGGGCGCCCCUGAAAAAUGCGCGGACCGAAGAAAGAGGGUGGCAACGGUAGGAAAGGCGCAAGCGUGGGCCGCGCACUUAUCUUGAAGAGGAUGUGUGUGUGUGUGUGUGCGUAUUCGCAUGCGUGGAGCGAAAGAAAAGGAGACAUGAUCGGCGAGAGCCUCACCUUGCAAAUGUGUGCACCAGAGCGGUUUUAGUUUUUGUGGCCCGCUUCCGCGCGAACGCGUGCGUGUUUCGUGAUGGCUGGCCGUUAAUCUCUUGUGCUUCUCUUCUGCGGCGUGGAGCUUGUUUGCCCCUUCGUGUGUGCGUGCGCGUUUUCCUCUUCUUAAGCUUCUUUUUUGCCCCACCUCCUUCAUUAUAGAUAUCGGCUUGUUGUUUGCGACUGGAGGAAGUAGCCUCUAACCUUUUCUCCUCCUCUCUGGUCUUCUGAGCGUGUGUGCUGCACUGAACGCACAUGUUCUCCCUCUUUCUUCAUCUGUGGCGUUUGCUGCUUCCUCUUCCAUUCGCUUUUUUCCUUACGCUGCUCUCUGCUUGUGGUGUGCUGGUGCCCGGGUUGCGUGCUGCUGUUUUCUCUCCGUUUCUUUUCUUUUGUUGCACUUCCGACUCGACAUUCCACAUCAGCUGUACGUUCGACGAUCACACGCGCCGGCACACACGCAGCAUAUUGUACAGAAUCGUCACCACCCCGCUGAUGCGGGAUGUCUCCCCUCCCCGCCUCCUGUUCUCUCCGCGCUCUCCUCCUUUGUUCUGUGACACGCACGUACACACAAAAACAGCAGCGGCACGUUUGUGAGCAUCUCGUGAAGGGCGCUUCCACUUCUCGUGGUUUACGUGCUCUCUCUCAAUCUUCUUUUCGUGUUCGUAAAGUCUUCCCACUGCCCACAGGUUGCCUUGACAGCGCUUGUAUUGGGGGGAGGGGGCGAUGAUGAUGCUUCUUCUCUUGCUUUACCGACGCCUCUGUUCUGCUUCUUUCUCUUCGCGCAGACGCGCAGACCCCAAGGCGCAUUCGCAUAUGUGCACACAGACUCAAACGCAGAUGCUCCGCACGCCCCGUAAAUACUACGAGGGGUAUGUGCAGACACGGAUGUGUGUGGGUGUGUGAUGAGCGUCUAGCCAUGCCGAAUGGACGCCGGCCUCUCCGUGAAAGGGUGCAAGAGGGGACAGACGAAGAGAAGAGGUGAGUUGAACUGCUUCCGCAUCUCCUUACAUCGGCCGUGGCGUGGCCCUGUGGCGGCUGCCCGCAUAUGUGCCCUUUCCCCUCCCCUCCCCUCCCCCUCUUCUCUUCUCUCUCGCUUUGUUCCUGUCGCUGUUGUUGGGGCUCGUCUUUGUUGUCCGUCCUAUUCUAAGCGAUGCUUUUUGUUUUGCAGGUGUGUCUCCGUUCGCCAUUGACGCCGUUGUUCGUGUUUUCUCUUUCUCUCGUGUUUUUUUGAGGUUCUUCUGCCGUCCUUGUGAUUCUUGUGAUAUCAACCGUUUGAACGGAUUGCCUGUGCGAACAGCGCAUGCGUUUGUGUGCGUCCGUGUGAGGUCUGCGCAUGGUGCUCCUCCUCCGCCCCCCCACCUCCACGAGUACACAACCGCCUUUUUCUCGUCUUCCUCUGUGCGUCG